CUUGUGAUUAGAGUUUGCUAAAAUAUUGUCAUGUGAACUGUCCUCGAGUUCUCAACCUGAUCGACCCUUUGCUCAUUUUUCCCAGUUUCUAGGGUCCAAGAUGAUGAAGGCCACAUUCUAAACUCGAGGCUUCAAACCAGGAAUCCGCAAACCAGGGUCCUGGUGUAACUGGGCAUGUUGGCUGAAACAGACUCCCCAGGAUGGUUGGAGCUGCCCCCUCUGGUUUCAGGCUCCAGGUGCUGAGGAGGCACCAGCAGAGGAAGAUCUGUCCUCUGCGGGGGUUCGGUCUAAUAAACUGCUGAAGCCUUGCUUUCCUUGAGGACUGCAGCUACAGUAUGAGGGCAUGUGCAGAGGGCACAGUAGCUGCAGUGGCUGGCGACAAGCGCGCUGACACUGCACACUGGGCAAGAGAAGCAUGUAAACUGAGAUCCACAUCGCCUGAUACCACAAGGACACGUCCAGCCCAGGAGCAUUGAUGACAGAUUCUGCCAAGGCUGCUCAGAAAGGUAGCGUUUCAUUGACAAAUUCAGCUGUAUGAAGUUAAAAUAAUUGAGCAGU